GACGAACGCUGGCGGCGUGCUUACACAUGCAAGUCGAACGGAAAGGCCCUGCUUUUGUGGGGUGCUCGAGUGGCGAACGGGUGAAUAACACGUGAGUAACCUGCCCUUGACUUUGGGAUAACUUCAGGAAACUGGGGCUAAUACCGGAUAGGAGCUCCUGCUGCAUGGUGGGGGUUGGAAAGUUUCGGCGGUUGGGGAUGGACUCGCGGCUUAUCAGCUUGUUGGUGGGGUAGUGGCUUACCAAGGCUUUGACGGGUAGCCGGCCUGAGAGGGUGACCGGCCACAUUGGGACUGAGAUACGGCCCAGACUCCUACGGGAGGCAGCAGUGGGGAAUAUUGCACAAUGGGCGGAAGCCUGAUGCAGCAACGCCGCGUGCGGGAUGACGGCCUUCGGGUUGUAAACCGCUUUCGCCUGUGACGAAGCGUGAGUGACGGUAAUGGGUAAAGAAGCACCGGCUAACUACGUGCCAGCAGCCGCGGUGAUACGUAGGGUGCGAGCGUUGUCCGGAUUUAUUGGGCGUAAAGGGCUCGUAGGUGGUUGAUCGCGUCGGAAGUGUAAUCUUGGGGCUUAACCCUGAGCGUGCUUUCGAUACGGGUUGACUUGAGGAAGGUAGGGGAGAAUGGAAUUCCUGGUGGAGCGGUGGAAUGCGCAGAUAUCAGGAGGAACACCAGUGGCGAAGGCGGUUCUCUGGGCCUUUCCUGACGCUGAGGAGCGAAAGCGUGGGGAGCGAACAGGCUUAGAUACCCUGGUAGUCCACGCUGUAAACGGUGGGUACUAGGUGUGGGGUCCAUUCCACGGGUUCCGUGCCGUAGCUAACGCUUUAAGUACCCCGCCUGGGGAGUACGGCCGCAAGGCUAAAACUCAAAGGAAUUGACGGGGCCCCGCACAAGCGGCGGAGCAUGCGGAUUAAUUCGAUGCAACGCGUAGAACCUUACCUGGGUUUGACAUGGAUCGGGAGUGCUCAGAGAUGGGUGUGCCUCUUUUGGGGUCGGUUCACAGGUGGUGCAUGCCUGUCGUCAGCUCGUGUCGUGAGAUGUUGGGUUAAGUCCCGCAACGAGCGCAACCCUUGUUCACUGUUGCCAGCACGUUAUGGUGGGGACUCAGUGGAGACCGCCGGGGUCAACUCGGAGGAAGGUGGGGAUGACGUCAAGUCAUCAUGCCCCUUAUGUCCAGGGCUUCACGCAUGCUACAAUGGCUGGUACAGAGAGUGGCGAGCCUGUGAGGGUGAGCGAAUCUCGGAAAGCCGGUCUCAGUUCGGAUUGGGGUCUGCAACUCGACCUCAUGAAGUCGGAGUCGCUAGUAAUCGCAGAUCAGCAACGCUGCGGUGAAUACGUUCCCGGGGCU
rnacentral:rRNA from 1 species